rnacentral:tRNA from 1 species
UUAAUUGAAGCCAAAAAGAGGCUUAUCACUGUUAAUGAUAAUAUUGAAAAUAUAUUCCAAUUAAA